UACGGGGGGGCAAGCGUUGUUCGGAAUUACUGGGCGUAAAGGGCUCGUAGGCGGCCAACUAAGUCAGACGUGAAAUCCCUCGGCUUAACCUGGGAACUGCGUCUGAUACUGGAUGGCUUGAAUUCGGGAGAGGGAUGCAGAAUUCCAGGUGUAGCGGUGAAAUGCGUAGAUAUCUGGAGGAAUACCGGUGGCGAAGGCGGCAUCCUGGACCGAGAUUGACACUGAUGAGCGAAAGCCAGGGGAGCAAACGGG
rnacentral:rRNA from 1 species